rnacentral:tRNA from 2 species
ACCCUUUUAGCUCAGUGGUUGAGCGUUGGCUUUGGAAGCCACAGGUCUGUGGUUCGAUUCCACCAGGGCGCA